rnacentral:rRNA from 1 species
GACGAACGCUGGCGGCGUGCUUAACACAUGCAAGUCGAACGGAAAGGCCCUGCUUUUGUGGGGUGCUCGAGUGGCGAACGGGUGAGUAACACGUGAGUAACCUGCCCUUGACUUUGGGAUAACUUCAGGAAACUGGGGCUAAUACCGGAUAGGAGCUCCUGCUGCAUGGUGGGGGUUGGAAAGUUUCGGCGGUUGGGGAUGGACUCGCGGCUUAUCAGCUUGUUGGUGGGGUAGUGGCUUACCAAGGCUUUGACGGGUAGCCGGCCUGAGAGGGUGACCGGACAAAUUGGGACUGAGAUACGGCCCAGUCUCCUACGGGAGGCGGCGGUGGGGAAUAUUGCACAAGGGGCGGAAGCCUGAUGCAGCACCGCCGGGUGCGGGAUGACGGCCUUCGGGUUGUAAACCGCUUUCGCCUGUGACGAAGCGUGAGUGACGGUAAUGGGUAAAGAAGCACCGGCUAACUACG